GACUAUCAGCCAGGGAAAGCUAAUGUUGUGGCUGACGCCUUAAGUCGCAAGACUAUGGCGAGUCUACGGAUUACUCCUUUAUCUAUGGUACAUGAGUUAAGAUCAUUGCAUGCUAGCUUAGAGAUUAAUGAUAAGGGGCAGACAGCAGUUGCAUAGCAUGUACAGCCAAUGUUGAUUGAUCAGAUCAGAAUGGUUGCUCAGAAUGAUGAAAGGUAUCAAAAGCUGUUGGAAGAAGUCCG
rnacentral:misc_RNA from 1 species